rnacentral:rRNA from 1 species
GGGGGAUCUUGGUCAAUGGGGGAAACCCUGAACCAGCGACGCCGCGUGAGGGAAGAAGGUCCUUGGAUCGUAAACCUCUUUUGCCAGGGAAGAAGGGUGGCGACAUCUUGACGGUACCUGGCGAAUAAGCCCCGGCUAACUACGUGCCAGCAGCCGCGGUAAUACGUAGGGGGCGAGCGUUGUCCGGAUUUACUGGGCGUAAAGAGCGCGUAGGCGGUCUGAAGAGUCGGCUGUGAAAUCUCUGGGCCCAACCCAGAGGGGUCGGCCGAGACCUUUGGACUAGAGGGUGGUAGAGGAAGGUGGAAUUCCGGGUGUAGUGGUGAAAUGCGUAGAGAUCCGGAGGAACACCAGUGGCGAAGGCGGCCUUCUGGGCCAUACCUGACGCUGAGGCGCGAAAGCGUGGGGAGCGAACCGAAUUAGAUACUCGGGUAGUCCACGCCCUAAACGAUGGACGCUAGGUGUCGGGGGUAUCGACCCCUCCGGUGCCCGAGCGAACGCAGUAAGCGUCCCGCCUGGGGAGUACGGCCGCAAGGCU